rnacentral:rRNA from 1 species
AACUUGGAGACGUUGGCAGGGGCCCCGGGAAGAGUUAUCUUUUCUCCUUAACAGUCUACCACCCUGAAAUCAGAUUGUCUGGAGCUAGGGUUCAAUGACUGGUAGAGCACAACACCUCUGUUGUGUCCGGUGCGUUCCUGACAACCCUUGAAAAUCCAAGGGAAUGAAUAAUUUUCACACCUGGUC